UACGGAAGGCAGCAGUGGGGAAUAUUGCACAAUGGGCGAAAGCCUGAUGCAGCUAUGCCGCGUGUAUGAAGAAGGCCUUAGGGUUGUAAAGUACUUUCAUCGGGGAGGAAAAAACAAAACUAAUAAUUUUAUUUCUUGACGUUACCCGAAAAAGAAGCACCGGCUAACUCCGUGCCAGCAGCCGCGGUAAUACGGAGGGUGCUAGCGUUAAUCAGAAUUACUGGGCGUAAAGAGCACGUAGGUGGUUUUUUUAAAGUCAGAUGUGAAAUCCCUGGGCUUAACCUAGGAACUGCAUUUUGAAACUGAAAUACUAGAGUAUCGUAGAGGGAGGUAGAAUUCUAGGUGUAGCGGUGAAAUGCGUAGAUAUCUGGAGGAAUACCUGUGGCGAAAGCGGCCUCCUAAACGAAUACUGACACUGAGGUGCGAAAGCGUGGGGAGCGAAACAGGGAUUAGAUACC
rnacentral:rRNA from 1 species